GGGUCCGUGGUGUAGUUGGGAUAGCAUAGAGGCUUCCGGAGCCUCAGGCCUGGGUUCAACUCCCGGCGGGCCCG
rnacentral:tRNA from 1 species